UGGAACGACACCAGGGUGAGUAAAUGAUGACAGAUUUUUAUUUAGUUCUUUCAUUUUUGGGGUGAACUGUUCCUUUAAGUGCACAAAGCUUAUUUUCUUAUGAUAAUCAGCUCUUUGUUUUCCUAAUUCACCAUUUGCUUUGCUCUCUGUGUCGUUCAUUAGCUUUCCCGAGUGUCAUUUCAAAGGCUCAUCACGGAAGCUUGUCUUAUCUGAUUAAAAGCGAAUUAAAACAAAAGAUUUCUCGGCACGGCGACACGCAAAGGCCUGCUUUAAUUACCAGCACUUUGAACCCCGAGCGUGUAGAGCGUGGCGUUGUUCUCGUCACUGCGAGAGGGCACGAUUGGAGGAGAUGUGCGCGCUCGCACGCGCAAUCAGCGGGUUCCUCGAGUUCUCUCGUGCACCUUCACCGGUGCGUGCAAACCGAGCCGAAAGCGCUAACAAAUCUAAUGACUAAUGAUGUGCAGGUGUUUGCCACCGAUCCGGCCGCUGUGACCAAGUUUCAGUUUGCAGUGCAGCAGUUGGCGAGCGCUUGGGAAAGCUGCUCGUGAUCCGUCAGUAGACAUCAGACAGAAGCUCAGAUGAAGCUAUACGUAGAUCCUACUCACUGGAUUAUUGCCUGCUGUUUCAAUUAUGUGCACAAGAACGUGAUAAUAGAAAAAACAAGAACAAUGUAACUUUGAGCUCCGGCGACGUCUGCUGGCAGCUCUGGGUACUGCAUCGUUCCAGUGCGGCUUUAUUUUGUUACUCAAACAAGCUUGCUUUCCCACAUUAACUUCCAAAACAUUCUUGUAAUAAAACAUAGUAUAUUUCUUUGAAAAAGUGAAGAAUUACCUCUAGCUGUGGUCUCUAAACUACUAUUAACCUGACGUAGGUCCAUGCUGAAUUAGAUUUUUUCCUUGCAUCGCUCAGAUUAAUAGCGUUUCUCUGUGAUUUAGCCCUGGAGAUGUGUCUGUAAUAGCAUAUGCCUUCCAGGCCUAAUUACCCUAAAUGCAAUUUAAGUUUAUUAUCUUUUGUAUCCAGGGAGAACUGCACAACUCCGUUAUUAACCAAACUGUCCUCCUUUCUUACUGUCCGACAAUUUACAGCAGGAUUCAAUCAAGUUACCGUAAGUAAAACCGAUGAUUUUUACUUUCGUUGACGGGAAAGCACUCGAUGGUCAGGCCGCUGUGGGCCUCUGGUCAACAGAAUACUUUUUGCAGUCUUCAUCCACGUCCCAUUGACGGAUUUUGACCAAAAGCAAAUAAACGGAGAACAUUAGAGCAGAAGGCAAAGUAUGCAGUGUGUUAAAAUCCACUCUCAUUCGAGUCACUUAACAGAAUUAUUAAGUAUUGUAUCUUUUAUUAAAUAAAAAAAAAGGCAAGAAAAACCUCAAACCUGGAUUUGUUGUCAUAGUCUGGCAUCAUUUUUCUGUCACUUUACUGUCUAUCCAAGAAGACCAGCCUGAAUUUAUUUUGGUUUAAUAUGCAUAAAUGUGUGUUUUUGUAUUUGUUGUGUAUAUUUUGUUGCAUGCUAGAGUCUGAUAGGAUUAGCUAAGCAACAUAAUAACAGCACACUAUAAGAAGAGUCAUCGUCACUGGAGCAUGGUCACAUGACUUCUGCAGCUCAGGUGAUUGGCUCAGAAAGAUCUCUGAGAGCAAAGAUGUCCGAAUUGAAAUCUCCAGGUAUUACAGAACACCUUGUUUAAACAGACGUUCCUGGUGGCCCGUAACAGUCAUCUGUCACUCAUCGGCCCAGAAAACAGCACCUAAUGGCUUUCACAAGUCAGCGUGGAAUAACUGUUUAUAAUCCAUCAGCCAGGCCUGUUUGAGUUCACAUUGAGAGCUGAGCUCAUUUUGCAUACGGCGAAUUUAAAACCAGCCUAAUGUGGAAAAUGAAACGCUUGGAUCUGAAAAACACAACUUUAUUAACAGGUCUGAGAAUGCCAUUGACAUCCACGCUGACGAUG